rnacentral:tRNA from 1 species
GGGGCUAUAGCUCAGCUGGGAGAGCGCUUGACUGGCAGUCAAGAGGUCGGGAGUUCGAUCCUCCCUAGCUCCA